rnacentral:lncRNA from 1 species
UGAACUUUAAGGUUCCUGCUGUGUCCAGGCUCAUCUGCCACUCUUCAGGAGUUGCAGGACAGAGUUCUGGUGCCGUGUAUGGAGCCCAGAGCCAUGCACAGCGUACAGUCCGCCCUUGAGCUCAGCUCCCAGCCUCCAGUCACAUCAUCGUGAACAGCACCCAUGGAACGCUCUCGUCCUGCAGAGCUGGAAAUCUGUGCCGUGCAACAAUGACUUUCCCGCCUGUCUUUCUCCCAAGUCCUGGCGACCAGCACUGCCCUUCACCAUCAUGACAGUGACCAGCAGGGUCACGAGUGAGCGCCUCACAGGAAUGGGGUCCAGCGCCACUCCUCCUUCCAUGCCUGGCUUAUUUUACUUAGCCUAGGCCUGGUUACCCAUGAUACAGCCUGUGUCAGAAUCCCCUUCCCUUUUCAAGGCUCUGUGUUUGGUUCAUCAUUGGUUGGUUAUCUUACUAAGAAAACGGAAUAUUUACCUCCCAGCUGUAAAGAUCUCCUCUCUGAUAGGUAUUGUUUUUUGUGUUUGUCUUUGGAAAGUAUUAAAGAAUGAUUUUUGAAAGUCUCUUUUUCUCCUGCCAAAGUCCUGGGUCACAGUGGGAAGAAAUGUGAGUGAAUUCUCUGUCUUCAGAGAUUCAAAAAUCACAGAAAUGGUGUACUUGGUUUACAU